CCUACGGGAGGCAGCAGUGAGGAAUAUUGGUCAAUGGACGCAAGUCUGAACCAGCCAUGCCGCGUGCAGGAAGACGGCUCUAUGAGUUGUAAACUGCUUUUGUACGAGGGUAAACGCAGAUACGCGUACCUGUCUGAAAGUAUCGUACGAAUAAGGCUCGGCUAACUCCGAGCCAGCAGCCGCGGUAAUACGGAGGAUUCAAGCGUUAGCCGGAUGUAUUGGGUGUAAGGGGUGCGUAGGCGGUGGGAUAAGUUAGAGGUGAAAGCCCGAGGCCCAACUGCGGAAUUGCCUCUGAUACUGUUCGACUAGAGAGUAGUUGCGGUAGGCGGAAUGUAUGGUGUAGCGGUGAAAUGCUUAGAGAUCAUACAGAACACCGAUGGCGAAGGCAGCUGACCAAGCUACUUCUGACGUUGAGGCACGAAAGCGUGGGGAGCAAACAGGAUUAGAUACCCUAGUAGUC
rnacentral:rRNA from 1 species